CGGCGAUCCCCCCCCCCCCCCCCCCCGCGCGUCUGCUCGGGCUAGCCGGCGAUGGAAGAUGCCGGUCUAGUUCCUGCUCGACGCCGUCGACCGGUUUCCCCUUCGGGAGGAGUUUGCGGACUGCCUGUACUCAUCCAGAUCCGAUUCCUCUGGCGGUGCUACUGCGGCGAUCUGUGUUACUCGUGCCAAUUGGGAGGCACCUGGUAGCGGCGGCAGAUGGCGUCGAGAAGGAGACAUGCCCAAUGGGUAAUGGGAAGCCGACGGUGAAGAAUCAUCAAAUCAGGUUAUCAGGCAAUUUCUAGACUCUGAAUGUUCAAAACAUCAGCUCUGAAACAUCAAAGGCGCUAUUUGUUUUACAUAGUUUGGUCGGCUACUGAUUAAAGGAACGGCUUACAAUGUUACAGAAGUUGAGAAGAUGAGGAAAACAAUGCAGCCAAGAGGGAGAAAUGGAGCAGGGUCAUGUACUAGGUGACCGUCAAGGCCGCCGGUUUAGAGUUGUAGUGUGAGUGCGGGCAAUUCGAGCACAUGGGCAUGAUGGAGCAGGGUCAUGUACUAGGUGACCGUCAAGGCCGCCGGUUUAGAGUUGUAGUGUGAGUGCGGGCAAUUCGAGCACAUGGGCAUGCUGUGCUCUCAUGUCUGAAUGGUGAUGGACGUGCUUCACCUGGAGGAGAUUCCUGCAAAACCCAUCGUGAAGCGGUGAACGAAGGAUGCAAGGAAUAUCCUCUGUCCAGACACCUUGUGCAGUACCAGAAAGACCAGUCGGUUAAUAAGUCCUUUUGGUACUCUGUAUGUGCAAGAUAUGGACGUUGUCAGGAGGGGCGACGCGAGCAUGGAAGGUUUCAAACACAUGUCGGCUGGCCUCAAGGCAUUGCUCGCCAGCGGGCCGCCAUUCGUUGAGCAGACGAAUGGUUUAGGUUUUGUGGACCGUCAGGGAAAUACGCUUGCAGGAGUGCUGCGUGGGAAAGGAGAAACUGAAUUUAUUGCAAAUUGGGGGGGUUCAGAUCAUGCAAUUGGAGGUCAAAGUGCCCCGAAGAAGCGAAGAGGAGUUGGCAGACCGACGGACAGCCAAGAGAAAGCACCGUACGAGGGAUGAGUAAACGGACAAGGUUUUGCAGUAUCUGUCGCCGCGACGGCCACAAAAGAUGAACUUGCCUUGGGCGGGGUGAUGCCCCUAAGCAAUCGCGAAAACCAGGAAAAUUCAACAACGGUGUAAUGGAAGCACACCGCCGGAACACAUGCACAUCAUAACUGCUUCGUUGUCCGCAGAAUCAAAUGUGAAAACUAGAUUUUAAUUGAUGUAUGUUGUGCUAUGAGGACUUCUGGUGUGUUGAGCUUUGCUCCAUGCUUGUUCCUCCACAUCUGAACGUGGGACUAAAGUGUGACAUUGAGUGAACUUGUUUGACGUUGAUCAGUAUCUUCCUCUGUGUGUGUGCUUGUUUUGAGUUGUUAUGUGUGACUGGAAAUGAAUGUUUGGUAGAA